GCCGAGGGCGUUGCUGCAGGUGGGAAGCAGCGUGGGACGGCUGGGCCCGCCUCCUUGAGCCAAAGCCCCUAAUGAGGCCAGCUCAGGAAGAUUCCUCUGGACCAGUCUCAGCCUCAGCAGGAGGGACGGACAGGGACUUUGGACAAGACUGAGGCUCUGAGAGGUUGUGGAGGUGUCACCCAGCUGGAUAAGGGUCAGAAAUAAGAUGGAAAGUAUUCCGAUCUCUGUAAUGACAAUACCCAGCACUUACACAGAACCUUCUACGGGACCCGCACGGCACAUCUAUUCACUCAUUCAAUCCUCCAGCAACCCACGAGGGCAGGACUGUCGCUGUCUUGGUGCCACACGCGAGGAAACUGAGGCACAGAGAAAGAAGCUCGCCAAAGCUUUGUGAGCCAGGAGGCAGGAGGAUGGACGACGCACUGGAGGCCUGAUCAGAUGGCGAAAGGGAGGAAGAAACCAGAGCCACUUGUCUCCUUGAUCUCUGGGAUGGAAGCCACCUUCAGGUGAGGGAGAGGUAGCCAAAGGUGACCUUGAUGUGUCCCCGGCAACUCCUUGGUUACAAGAAACAGAAACCACGGGAGAUGAUUAGAGGGACAUGGGAGAGCUGACACAGUUGGAGGAAAACUUAAGACCCAGCCUCUGACUGGGAUGAGAUUCAGAAAGCCCCAAAGACACAGUGAAGGGUCUCUGUAAGACAGCAAGAUGAAUGGGCUGCCACCAUUGUUCCCGGGUUGGUCACCCAGAUGCAAAUCCCAGAACAAAAGCUACAAGCACAGCCUGGUUUAAGUCAUCUCAAUUUAUGGUCAUCGAGAUCUUGCCCACUGAGGGAGGGCGAGUCUGCAAAAUCAAGGGACAGUUAUCAGAGGAAAGAGGACUGGAGGCUGGGAGGCAGAAGCAAGAGACGUCAGGUGAAGAAGACUUCCCACUUUGCAAUGCCUGCAAAGUGACAGAGACAGUAGCAGGCCCCAUACGUGCUGUGCCCGGAGCAUCCUCAACCCCAAUUAGAGAAGUGGGAAUAGGAAACAGGGCACUUUCCCAAGAGAAGAUAAGGAAAUGGAGAGCUCUGAGAUAUCACAGGGAGCAAGUGGCAGCCAGGAUUGCCAUCCAGAGCUAUUGAGCUCCAAACUCCACACUCUCCCAGUAUAUGGUGCUGCCACUCUACUGUUGCAUGCUGGAGUGCUCACAGGGAAGAAACAUAAAGAGGAGGGAGCUUGUGUCAAAGGGAAGAACCAUCAUGAAGACCCUCAAGGAGGUGUCCCACAGAUCAGUGACCUGUGUCAGAUGUUGUCGGGCCAGGCGCUGUGGACGCUGAGGUGCUGAGGCUGCGGGCUGGAUCCGCCAAUGUGGCCACCAUCGGUGCCUCCCCAGGCCUUGGUUUCAUCUGAUUUUUAUUUUAUGUUUUAUUGUUUCAGUCUUCUGAUGCUGAUGUUCUCACACCUGGGAAAGGAGGG
rnacentral:lncRNA from 1 species